UACGGGGGGGGCAAGCGUUGUUCGGAAUUACUGGGCGUAAAGGGUUUGUAGGUGGUCUGCUAAGUCAGACGUGAAAUCCCUCAGCUUAACUGGGGAACUGCGUCUGAUACUGGCGGACUUGAGGACAGGAGAGGAACGCGGAAUUCCAGGUGUAGCGGUGAAAUGCGUAGAUAUCUGGAGAACACCGGUGGCGAAGGCGGCGUUCUGGACUGUUUCUGACACUGAAAAACGAAAGCCAGGGGAGCAAACGGG
rnacentral:rRNA from 1 species